GACGAACGCUGGCGGCGUGCCUAACACUUGCAAGUCGAGCGAUGAAGCUCCUUCGGGAGUGGAAUAGCGGCGGACGGGUGAGUAACACGUGGGUAACCUGCCUCAUAGAGGGGAAUAGCCUUCCGAAAGGGAGAUUAAUACCGCAUAACAUAACUUUAUCGCAUGGUAGAGUUAUCAAAGGAGCAAUCCGCUAUGAGAUGGACCCACGGCGCAUUAGCUAGUUGGUGUGGUAACGGCUCACCAAGGCGACGAUGCGUAGCCGACCUGAGAGGGUGAUCGGCCACAUUGGAACUGAGACACGGUCCAGACUCCUACGGGAGGCAGCAGUGGGGAAUAUUGCGCAAUGGGGGAAACCCUGACGCAGCAACGCCGCGUGAGUGAAGAAGGCCUUAGGGUUGUAAAGCUCUGUCAUAUGGGAAGAUAAUGACGGUACCAUAAGAGGAAGCCACGGCUAACUACGUGCCAGCCGCCGCAGUAA
rnacentral:rRNA from 1 species